UACGAUGGGCACUGUCAGAAGCGGACAUGAGAGGGGGGUCGGCCACAUUGGAAACGAGACACGGGCCGAACGCGGACGGGUGGCAGCAGGGGGGAAUAUUGCACGGUGGGCGCAAGUCUGAUGCAGCAGCGCCGCGUGAGUGAUGAAGGCCUUCGGGUCGAAAAGCUCUGUGCUCAAGGAAGAUAGUGCCGGUACUUGAGGAGGAAGCCCCGGCUAGCUGCGUGCCAGCAGCCGCGGUAAUACGUAGGGGGCUGGCGUUAUCCGGAUUUACUGGGCGUAAAGGGUGCGUAAGCGGUGUUUCCAGUCCGGUGUGAAAGGCUCCGCAUAAACCGUCGUAAUCUCUUGAACAUGGCAUGCUUUAGCUCAGGAGACGAUAGUGGACAUCCAGUCGUAGGGGUGAAAUGCUUAGAUAUUAGACGUGAACCCUGUUGCGAAUGCGGCCCCCUGGACUGUAA
rnacentral:rRNA from 1 species